ACCUGGCUGGCUCAGUCAGUAGAGCAAGUGACUCUUGAUCUUGGGGUUGUGAGUUUGAACCUCAUGUUGGAUG
rnacentral:tRNA from 1 species